rnacentral:lncRNA from 1 species
AGCAAUUUAAUUUUGCUCUUUUAAGAAGCAUCUAUGGUGACAAGAGGGCACUGUUAUGAUCAUGGCUACCGCUGUGAGGUAUCAGCAUGUGUCUUGCCAGCGCGCGUCAAACGGCAUGAAGGGGGUCCAAACGUUAAGGGCGACUGGGCGAGGGGUCCAAGGGAGUCCAAACAGAGUGUCCAAGCGCUCAGGGAGUGUAUGGACCGGGGGUCCAACUACUCGCGAGCGCUUGGACCCCCGGUCCAAAUAGAAGGGGGGUCCAACCACCCUCCAACACCUGUAUCAACGCCGCGCCUGUAUGAUCUCCUGUCGAGUGUCGACGCCUGAACGUCUUACAAAUGGCGGCACUGGAGUAAAAAGGAUUUUAUAAGUAGUCCUCAGUCUAAUGUAUUUCUAAUAGACUUCAACACACCUCAAUCCUGUAGCCAUGAUACUCAGUGUACUUCUACCCUGGAAACCUCUCCUGUAUGUAUAUCUCUUGCCCACCCAACUCUAUCACUUCAAGCAAUGAAUGGAUUAUCCUGUAACUGUGUGACUGGAUACAGACAAACCUCUAACAUUGGGCCAGUCACUUGUGAGGCCUGCCCUAGUCUCAGCUCAGUUAGAUCUGAUGAUGGUUUGUAUUGCCUCACUUGUCUGUCUCCAUUGAUAUACACUGGAGGGACUUGCACUGGCUGUGAGGAUCAGACUUCUAUAUUUGUUGACACAAUUCCCAUCAAUCGUUCAUCAACUGGAGACAGAAGGUGCCAAACAUGUCCAGCUAGCACGAUUGCUGACUCUAGCAAGAAGCUCUGUAUCCCUGUGGUAUCAGUAAUUGCUCCAACUGCCUCUCAUUCACUAAUGGAGUCUGCUUCACUCAACCACUCACUCCUCCUACUUCUACUCCCUUUCCAUUUUAUUCUAAUUUCAGCUCUUCCCUUGCUCUAUGCAACAUACGUAUUGAGUGUCUGGUUUCAUUCUAAUUUAUUUGAAUUCCUCUAGAAUGGUAGUUUGAGUGCCUGCCAGUUGUUGAUCAAUUUGUGUGUGCUUCAAAGUUAUAGCAUGACUGAUCAAUCUUGUCAAGAUAUUAGAUGUCUUUCAUCAACUUCGCCUAAUCUAGUCCCUGAAGUAUAUUAUGCUCAGUUUGGUGCUCAGCAGUAUUUAACUAACAUAGCCAUUAAUACUGUUUUUUCUACAUCAGUGAUGAUAGCUCUCAGUGGCAGUUUGUGAGAUGUUUCUAUACCCACCAGUCAGUCACUGGCACUCCAUCAUAUCUUGAAUCCACUGAAAUCAAUAUACAGUUAACCAGUCGUGGUCACAUUCAGUCUCCAUAUCUUAGACUGUCCUAUCAGGCUAUACCUACCAAUGAUGCACAAAUACAGUGGAGGAAAUAAUGCUUUCAAUAUUGCUUUAUUAGUAAUAGCUAGUGUGUUUGUUAUUCUAGCUGCAGUCUAUGCUGGCUAGUUCAUAAUCACAUUAAUAAAUACUAGAAAGAAUUAAAAAUAUUGAGGGGCUCCGCCUCCUGACUGCACCUCCCAGUCAUGCCCAGAUGUACGUACAAAUUCUUUCCUUUGUUCCAUGUUGUCUUUUUCAUUUUUGUUCCUGGUCUCUAUUUCCUUUAUAUUUUGGUUGUUGUUCUACAAGCUACAAGUGACCCUUCUCCUAAGUCCUAACGCUCC